CAACCCUCAAGCAUUGCUUGGUGUUGGGGCACUGCCUGUAAAAGGGCAGGCCCUGAAAUCUAGUGGCGAGCUCGCCAGGACCCCGAGCGCAGUAGUUAAACCCUCGCUUUGGAAGGCCCUGGCGGUGCCCUGCCGUUAAACCCCCAACUUUUGAAA
rnacentral:misc_RNA from 2 species